UAAAAUAGUAAAAGUAAAAAAAAUAUGGACUUUAACUUAAUCUAUUAAAAAAUUUAUAUUAAUUAUAUAUAUAAUCCUUUUUUAAUAUAUUUUGUAAAUAAGUGAAAAAUUGUUAUAAUGUAAAAUAAAUGACCUUUAUUACUAGUUAAUUGUAUUCAUAAUUUUUAUAAUAAGCAUAACAUAAAUAAUAAUAAUUUAAAGAAAAUAAUACCCUAACCCUUAAUAAAAUGAAAGCGCUAAACAAAUCAGGAAACAAUGAAACAAACAGGGCAAACCUCACCCCCCAUUUCAAACUCAUACACAAAAUUUCAAACUCAAACCAGGAAUCGAUGAAUGAAAUACCUUUCCGAUGCGGUCGUCUCUUUGAUCUUAAAACGGGUUUGAUCUUAAAACGGGUUUGAAUAUCCUUAUGGGUUUGAUGGAUCUGAGUUUGCUGAAUGGGUUUGAUGGAUCUGUUUGCUAUGGGUAAGAUCUGUUUCUCUAAUAACAACUCUAUCUUCUACCUUUCUCUGGUUUUCUGAUUGUUUUAGAAAAUUUCCCCCUCUCUCAGUUCUGUUUGCCUCAAUUUAUAAGAGAAACGGCUAAUGUUUUCAUUCAUUGUACAAAUACAUGUUCUGGAUUUUGGAUUUUGUAUUGUUACUCAACAAAAAUUCAUUGAAAGGAAACUUUGUUGAACAUAAUGUUGGAACGAAAGGAAACGUGUGGCAGUGUGAACGAAAGGAAACGAGUGCCCAAAACUGAAGGAAACGUGUGCCCAGC
rnacentral:lncRNA from 1 species